rnacentral:rRNA from 1 species
UACGUAGGGCGCAAGCGUUGUCCGGAAUUAUUGGGCGUAAAGAGCUCGUAGGCGGUUGUCGCGUCUGCUGUGAAAACCUGAGGCUCAACCUCGGGCUUGCAGUGGGUACGGGCAGACUAGAGUGCGGUAGGGGUGACUGGAAUUCCUGGUGUAGCGGUGGAAUGCGCAGAUAUCAGGAGGAACACCGAUGGCGAAGGCAGGUCACUGGGCCGCAACUGACGCUGAGGAGCGAAAGCAUGGGGAGCGAACAGG